rnacentral:rRNA from 1 species
UACGUAGGGACCAAGCGUUGUUCGGAUUUACUGGGCGUAAAGGGCGCGUAGGCGGCAAAUUAAGUCAUCUGUGAAAUCUCCGAGCUUAACUCGGAACGGUCAGGUGAUACUGAUCUGCUAGAGUGCGGAAGGGGCAAUCGGAAUUCUUGGUGUAGCGGUGAAAUGCGUAGAUAUCGAAGAGGAACACCUGAGGUGAAGACGGGUUGCUGGGCCGACACGUGACGCUGACAGCGCGAAAGCCAGGGGAGCAAACGGG